rnacentral:rRNA from 1 species
ACGCUGGCGGCGUGCCUAAUACAUGCAAGUAGAACGCUGAAAGAGGAGCUUGCUUCUCUGGAAGAGUUGCGAACGGGUGAGUAACGCGUAGGUAACCUGCCUGGUAGCGGGGGAUAACUAUUGGAAACGAUAGCUAAUACCGCAUAAGAGUAGAUGUUGCACGACAUUUGCUUAAAAGGUGCAAUUGCAUCACUACCAGAUGGACCUGCGUUGUAUUAGCUAGUUGGUGGGGUAACGGCUCACCAAGGCGACGAUACAUAGCCGACCUGAGAGGGUGAUCGGCCACACUGGGACUGAGACACGGCCCAGACUCCUACGGGAGGCAGCAGUAGGGAAUCUUCGGCAAUGGACGGAAGUCUGACCGAGCAACGCCGCGUGAGUGAAGAAGGUUUUCGGAUCGUAAAGCUCUGUUGUAAGAGAAGAACGAGUGUGAGAGUGGAAAGUUCACACUGUGACAGUAUCUUACCAGAAAGGGACGGCUAACUACGUGCCAGCAGCCGCGGUAAUACGUAGGUCCCGAGCGUUGUCCGGAUUUAUUGGGCGUAAAGCGAGCGCAGGCGGUUAGAUAAGUCUGAAGUUAAAGGCUGUGGCUUAACCAUAGUACGCUUUGGAAACUGUUUAACUUGAGUGCAAGAGGGGAGAGUGGAAUUCCAUGUGUAGCGGUGAAAUGCGUAGAUAUAUGGAGGAACACCGGUGGCGAAAGCGGCUCCCUGGCUUGUAACUGACGCUGAGGCUCGAAAGCGUGGGGAGCAAACAGGAUUAGAUACCCUGGUAGUCCACGCCGUAAACGAUGAGUGCUAGGUGUUAGACCCUUUCCGGGGUUUAGUGCCGCAGCUAACGCAUUAAGCACUCCCGCCUGGGGAGUACGACCGCAAGGUUGAAACUCAAAGGAAUGACGGGGGCCCGCACAA